GCCGAAGUGGUGUAAUGGCAGCACGUCUUUCUCGCAUUGAAGGUGCCGGUUCGAUUCCGGUCUUCGGCUCCA
rnacentral:tRNA from 1 species